rnacentral:tRNA from 1 species
GUGGAUGUAGCUCAGCUGGUUAGAGCACCUGGUUGUGGCCCAGGAGGCCGCGAGUUCAAAUCUCGUCAUCCACCCCA